UACAGAGGGGGCAAGCGUUGUUCGGAAUUACUGGGCGUAAAGGGCGCGUAGGCGGCCUUCUAAGUCGAACGUGAAAUCCCCCGGGCUCAACCCGGGAACUGCGUCCGAUACUGGAAGGCUUGAAUCCGGGAGAGGGAUGCGGAAUUCCAGGUGUAGCGGUGAAAUGCGUAGAUAUCAGGAGGAACACCGGUGGCGAAGGCGGAUCUCUGGGCCAUUACUGACGCUGAGGAGCGAAAAGCGUGGGGGAGCGAACAGG
rnacentral:rRNA from 1 species